GAUGAAGAACGCAGUGAAAUGCGAUAAGUAAUGUGAAUUGCAGAAUUCAGUGAAUCAUCGAAUCUUUGAACGCACAUUGCGCCCGUCAGUAUUCUGGCGGGCAUGUCUGUUCGAGCGUCAUUACGCCCCUCAAGUCCCCUGUGGACUUGGUGUUGGGGAUCGGCGAGGCUGGUUUUCCAGCACAGCCGUCCCUUAAAUUAAUUGGCGGUCUCGCCGUGGCCCUCCUCUGCGCAGUAGUAAAACACUCGCAACAGGAGCCCGGCGCGGUCCACUGCCGUAAAACCCCCCAACUUUUUAUAGUUGACCUCGAAUCAGGUAGGACUACCCGCUGAACUUAAGCAUAUCAAUAAGCGGAGGA
rnacentral:misc_RNA from 1 species